rnacentral:tRNA from 1 species
UGGCACAUAGCAGUCCUAAAGUUGUUUGCACACCGUCAUGGGGUGUCGGGGGUCGGAGGUUCAAAUCCUCUCGUGCCGACCA